rnacentral:tRNA from 2 species
GGCUUUGUGGCCCAGUGGUUAAGGCAUCCCGCUCGUAACGGGGGGGUCCCGCGUUCAAAUCGCGGCAGAGCCA